AUAAUUCAGCAUAUUCUACUGUUACUUGUAGUCGAUUUGAAGGAUAAAAUUGCUUGUUUUAACAAAUGGAUGCUAAUUUUAUGAAAGUUACUUUCAAAUGAAAAGAAAGAAGCUUUAGCAGCAAUCUCUCUACUCCCUCAUGGAGAGUUUGUAUCUGGCUAGUGCUCGUCUAACGUUCUAGUUUGUGAUGAGGAUGCACCAUUAAA